GCUGGCUGCAGCAGGGAGAAUUGCUGGGGGGAAAAAAGAGACUCAUUGAUGAGGCUAAGUCAUGUGUAGGAAGAGUAGGAGCAAUUGCAAGGAAGAUACCUUGGAGUAAUGCUAAAGCAAUGGAAGAGGUCUGUUACUCACAAGGAGCGUGUCUGCUCCUGCAGAGUGCCUGGUGUCACAGAGAAGACAGCUGAUGCUUCUGGGAGAUGUGCUAAAGAGAUCAGGGCCUUUUCUUCUGGAAAGAGAAGCAGAACCAGGCUUUGCACCAACUCUAACAGAAAGGCUCCCAUCAGAGUGAGUGGGACCUUGCAGGGAGCAAGCAUAGAUAUGGGUGUGAAAGUCCUCUGUGUCAGCACCUGCAGCAACAGCCAGGCAGCACCAUAUGGAGCAGGAUGGAGGAUGCAGAGGGAAGAGGGAUGCAGAGCGGUUUUCCCUCAGGCUGCUUGCUGGAAGGCAAGGAAAGUGAAUUCUCUGCAGGUACCCUGAGCCUUGCCAGAAAAGUG